AUGCUCUCUUCUGAAGCAUAUAUAUUAAAAUUGGAAAGAUAAGGUAAGAUUAGUAUGGCCCCUGCACAAAGAUGUCACACAAAUUUGUAAAGCGUUCCGUAUUUUU
ensembl:snRNA Gm25579 predicted gene, 25579